rnacentral:rRNA from 1 species
GGAGGGGGGGCGAGCGUUGUUCGGAAUCAUUGGGCGUAAAGGGUGUGUAGGCGGGUCAUGUAAGUCCAGGGGUGAAAGCCCCCGGGCUCAACCGGGGAAGUGCCCUCGAUACUGCAUGGCUUGAGUGCGAGAGAGGAGAGUGGAAUUCCCAGUGUAGCGGUGAAAUGCGUAGAUAUUGGGAAGAACACCAGUGGCGAAGGCGGCUCUCUGGACCGCAACUGACGCUGAAACACGAAAGCCAGGGGAGCAAACGGGAUUAGAUACCCCGGUAGUCCUGGCCGUAAACGAUGGGCACUAGGUGUGGGAGGUAUCGACCCCUUCUGUGCCGUAGCUAACGCAUUAAGUGCCCCGCCUGGGGAGUACGGUCGCAAAGGCUG